GUAGGGAAUAUUGGGCAAUGGAGGCAACUCUGACGCAGCCAUGCCGCGUGCAGGAAGAAGGCGCUACGCGUUGUAAACUGCUUUUAACCGGGAAGAAACCCCAGGACGUGUCCUGGGUUGACGGUACCGGAGGAAUAAGCACCGGCUAACUUCGUGCCAGCAGCCGCGGUAAUACGAAGGGUGCAAGCGUUAAUCGGAAUUACUGGGCGUAAAGCGCGCGUAGGUGGUUUUGUAAGUUGGAGGUGAAAUCCCCGGGCUCAACCUGGGAACUGCCUCCAAAACUGCAUGACUAGAGUACGGUAGAGGGUAGUGGAAUUUCCUGUGUAGCGGUGAAAUGCGUAGAUAUAGGAAGGAACACCAGUGGCGAAGGCGACUACCUGGACUGAUACUGACACUGAGGUGCGAAAGCGUGGGGAGCAAACAGGAUUAGAAACCCGAGUAGUCC
rnacentral:rRNA from 1 species